rnacentral:rRNA from 4 species
AGAGUUUGAUCCUGGCUCAGGAUGAACGCUGGCGGCGUGCCUAAUACAUGCAAGUCGAGCGAACGGACGAGAAGCUUGCUUCUCUGAUGUUAGCGGCGGACGGGUGAGUAACACGUGGAUAACCUACCUAUAAGACUGGGAUAACUUCGGGAAACCGGAGCUAAUACCGGAUAAUAUUUUGAACCGCAUGGUUCAAAAGUGAAAGACGGUCUUGCUGUCACUUAUAGAUGGAUCCGCGCUGCAUUAGCUAGUUGGUAAGGUAACGGCUUACCAAGGCAACGAUGCAUAGCCGACCUGAGAGGGUGAUCGGCCACACUGGAACUGAGACACGGUCCAGACUCCUACGGGAGGCAGCAGUAGGGAAUCUUCCGCAAUGGGCGAAAGCCUGACGGAGCAACGCCGCGUGAGUGAUGAAGGUCUUCGGAUCGUAAAACUCUGUUAUUAGGGAAGAACAUAUGUGUAAGUAACUGUGCACAUCUUGACGGUACCUAAUCAGAAAGCCACGGCUAACUACGUGCCAGCAGCCGCGGUAAUACGUAGGUGGCAAGCGUUAUCCGGAAUUAUUGGGCGUAAAGCGCGCGUAGGCGGUUUUUUAAGUCUGAUGUGAAAGCCCACGGCUCAACCGUGGAGGGUCAUUGGAAACUGGAAAACUUGAGUGCAGAAGAGGAAAGUGGAAUUCCAUGUGUAGCGGUGAAAUGCGCAGAGAUAUGGAGGAACACCAGUGGCGAAGGCGACUUUCUGGUCUGUAACUGACGCUGAUGUGCGAAAGCGUGGGGAUCAAACAGGAUUAGAUACCCUGGUAGUCCACGCCGUAAACGAUGAGUGCUAAGUGUUAGGGGGUUUCCGCCCCUUAGUGCUGCAGCUAACGCAUUAAGCACUCCGCCUGGGGAGUACGACCGCAAGGUUGAAACUCAAAGGAAUUGACGGGGACCCGCACAAGCGGUGGAGCAUGUGGUUUAAUUCGAA